rnacentral:rRNA from 1 species
UACAGGGGGGGCAAGCGUUGUUCGGAAUUACUGGGCGUAAAGGGUUCGUAGGUGGCCAACUAAGUCAGACGUGAAAUCCCUCAGCUUAACUGGGGAACUGCGUCUGAUACUGGAUGGCUUGAGUGUAGGAGAGGAAUGCGGAAUUCCAGGUGUAGCGGUGAAAUGCGUAGAUAUCUGGAGGAACACCGGGUGGCGAAGGCGGCAUUCUGGACUACAACUGACACUGAGGAACGAAAGCCAGGGGAGCAA